rnacentral:rRNA from 1 species
UACAGAGGUCCCAAGCGUUGUUCGGAUUCACUGGGCGUAAAGGGUGCGUAGGUGGCCAAGUAAGUCUAGUGUGAAAUCUCCGAGCUUAACUCGGAAACUGCAUCGGAUACUAUUUGGCUAGAGGAAUGGAGGGGAGACUGGAAUACUUGGUGUAGCAGUGAAAUGCGUAGAUAUCAAGUGGAACACCAGUGGCGAAGGCGAGUCUCUGGACAUUUCCUGACGCUGAGGCACGAAAGCUAGGGGAGCAAACAGG